rnacentral:lncRNA from 1 species
UCCUCGUCCUUCAGGUGGCCCCCGCUGUGGGGAGGGGGACAGGGGGGUCAGGGCAAUCCCCAAAACCCUCAGUUUUUGCCCCAAAAACUUUCGGUCCUCCCCACCCCAAAACCUUCAGUCCUGGCCCUACAAGCUUCGGUCCUUCCAACCCCAGAGUCUUUGGUCCUCAACCCAAAACCUUCCCACCCCAAAACCUUCCAUUCUCACCCCAAAACCUGCUCUCCUUCCCACCCCAAAACCUUCCAUUCUCACCCCAAAACUUUUUCUCCUUCCCACCCUAAAACCGUCUGAUCUCAGCCCCAAAACCUUAGUGUUUCCCACCCCAAAAUCUUCAGUCCAUCCUACCUCCAAUACCUUCAAUCUUCACCCCAAAACCUUCCGCAUUUCCCACCCCCAAAUCCUGCAGUCCUCACCCCAAAACCUUCCACCCUUUUCACCCUAAAUCCAGCCCUUCUCCCCCAAAACCUUUCGCAUUUCCCAUCCCCAAAUCCUUCAAUCCUCACCCCAAAACCUUCUGCAUUUCCUACCCCCAAACCCUUCAGUCCUCACCCCAAAACCUUCCGCCCUUUUCACCCCAAACCCAGCCCUUCUCACCCCAAAACCUUCCACUCCUCCCUCCCCAAACCCAGCCCUUCUCACCCCAAAACCUUUCACAUUUCACACCCCCAAAUCCUUCAAUCCUCACCCCAAAACCUUUCGACCCUCUCACCCCAAACCCAGCCCUUUUCACCCCAAAACCCUUUGCAUUUCCUAUCCCUAAAUCCUGCAGUCCUCACCCCAAAACCUUUCGACCUUCCCUCCCCAAAUCCAGCCCUUCUCAUCCCAAAACCUCCCAGGAGGGCAAUCUCACCCUAAAACGCCCAUUUCCCCCCUUCCCAUCUACCACAAAGGGGACAAACUGGAGAGGGGGACGGGGACCCCAGGGGGUGACCCAAGGGGGGAUGGGGACCCCGAGGGGGACUCCAAAGUGGGAUGGGGACCCUAAAGAGACCCCAAAGUGGGACGGAGACCCUGAGGGGACCCCAAGGGGGGACGGGGACCCCCAGGGGACCCUAAGGGGGAAUGGGACCCCAAGAGGGGAUGGGGACUUCGGGGGGACCCCA